UACAGAGGUCCCAAGCGUUGUUCGGAUUCACUGGGCGUAAAGGGUGCGUAGGCGGUCGGGUAAGUCUGAUGUGAAAUCUCACAGCUUAACUGUGAAACUGCAUUGGAUACUAUUCGGCUUGAGAGUUGGAGGGGGACUGGAAUUCUUGGUGUAGCAGUGAAAUGCGUAGAUAUCAAGAGGAACACCAGUGGCGAAGGCGACAUCCUGGACCGGUAUUGACGCUGAGGCGCGAAAGCCAGGGGAGCAAACGGG
rnacentral:rRNA from 1 species